UCUUCGGCAAUGGACGAAAGUCUGACCGAGCAACGCCGCGUGUGUGAUGAAGGGUUUCAGCUCGUAAAACACCGUUGUAAGAGAAGGAUGACAUUGAGAGUAACUGUUCAAUGUGUGACGGUAUCUUACCAGAAAGGAACGGCUAAAUACGUGCCAGCAGCCGCGGUAAUACGUAUGUUCCAAGCGUUAUCCGGAUUUAUUGGGCGUAAAGCGAGCGCAGACGGUUAUUUAAGUCUGAAGUGAAAGCCCUCAGCUCAACUGAGGAAUUGCUUUGGAAACUGGAUGACUUGAGUGCAGUAGAGGAAAGUAGAACUCCAUGUGUAGCGGUGAAAUGCGUAGAUAUAUGGAAGAACACCAGUGGCGAAGGCGGCUUUCUGGACUGUAACUGACGUUGAGGCUCGAAAGUGUGGGUAGCAAACAGGA
rnacentral:rRNA from 1 species